AAAAUCCGUCGACUUUAGAAAUCGUGAGGGUUCAAGUCCCUCUAUCCCCCCAAAAAGACCGAUUUGNNUAUUUNUCCUACCCUCUCUUUUUUUUAGUGGUUCCAAAUUUGUUCUCUUUCUCAUUCAUUCUACCUUUUUACAAACGUAUCAGAGCAGAAUUUUUUUCUUUUAUCACAAUCACAAGUGGUGUGGUAUAUAUGAUAUACGUACAAAUGAACAUCUUUGAACAAAGAAUCCCGAUUCACAAUUCAUAUCAUUGCUCAUACUGAAACUUAUAAAUUAUUCUAUUCAAGAAAUCGAAUUCCACGCUCAAGACUUUUAAUACUUUUUUAUCUUUUUUAAUUGACAUAGACCCCAGUCAUCUAGUAAAAUAAGGAUGAUGCGCCGGUAAUGGUCGGGAUAGCUCAGCUGGUAGAGCAGAGGACUGAAAAUCCUCGUGUCACCAGUUCAAUAUC
rnacentral:tRNA from 1 species